UUUGUAAACAAUUUUUGGAUUUGUAAAUAUACAAUGGGAAAACAAAUAAAACCCAAAAUAUUUUCCUAUGAUAAAGUAUAGGGGAUGACAAAAUAUAGCCACACAGACGGUGAUCGUGUGAAGCGAUGGAGUCUCGUAAAGACUUGCUGAGAGGGGUCUCAACAAGUCUUGGACGGGGCUUUCCCUGGCGUCGACGAAAAACCGGACUGCGACGCAAACCAUGGUUUCAAGAUGUUGUGAGAAGUUUUAAUGGGUUCAUCUUCGGCCUGUUCCUAGCUUCUGUGUAUGGCGUUACUGUGCUCUUCGUUCAAAAUCAGGAGCUCUGGUUCUGCGUCUACACCACUAUCGCCAUCGCAUUCAUUGCAUCAUUUGGCAUGGGCCUUUCUGUUCGAGUGCGCUCAAAUGUUAUGCUCAUGAUGCCGAUGCUAUGUUCGGAUAAUGGCAAAAAUAUCCUCCUCUUCCUCAUCUUCUCCAUGGUGAUCCAGGGGCCAAUGACCAACACCCUGGAGAACUUUGGCCGAGCGGCAGACAGUGUGGUGUGUGGUGCAGAGCUGACCAUGAAUCAGACCCAGGAACUGAUGCAGAGAGCAGCCACACCACUCUUCCCUGUGCUGGACAAGAUUCAAGACAUCACCAGGAAUGCCUAUUCAGUGGCUAGCAGGGUUCAGAACUUCAUCCAGGCUUUGACUGACUCAGUCCAGCAUGUUGCUCGCACUCUUAGAAACGUGCUUCGCUUCUUGGUUGGCAUCGGCGACGUGUGCAACGACAAGCUGGGCACACCGUACAAGAAGUGCAACAAGUUGUUUGAUGAUGCCCGGGAAGACUGCAUGAAUCUUCUGUCUAUAUUCAACUUCCUGUGUCACAUCGUGGAUGGGUUCCGCCCCCUGUGUGGAGUAUCUCGUGUGGGCCAGUUGUUUUGCAUCAUCCCCUCCUACGUCGCCAGCCACCUAAAGGAGAGACUGGAGGCUCCGACAGCUGCUGCCUUGGAUAGGAUCAAGCAGGAGUUUGAGUUCAACAUCUCGGCCUCCGUGCACUUCGACAUGAGCAUGAACAGCAGCCAGUCCAUGCAGCAGGUGUCCCAGAAUAUCCUGAAGGAAGUGUCGUCGGGUCUAGGCCACUUCCAGGAAGCGGUGGGACUGCUGGCUUACGUGGGCCUCGUCCUCAUGCCUCUCACGUACCUCUGGGCUGUGCUCUACAAACACAAGUACCUUCAGCAGGACAACUUUGACAACAAUUACAUCUCCAAGCAGUUUGAAGAGCUGGACCUGAAGAUGGGCAGGGAGGGCAGGCCAACGGUCCUCCCCCUCAACAAGAGAGAGGCCCGCAUCUACAUCAAAACUGGUGCCAUGUACCAGACAUCCAGGGAGAGACGAGUGGCGGCCAUUGGCACCAUCUCCGUCCUCCGCCAUCUGGUCCUGGGCUUCAUGGUGGUGGCACUAGACCUGUUGGUUUACUGGAUGUUCGACCUGGUGCACCACCAAGCCCAGGGAGACAUCGUCACCAGAGCGCCUGUCCUCGUCGCCGUCCAAAUCAACGGGACAGGCUACGCCUCCGACAUCUUAAAGGACAUGGUGUCUUCCUUCGACGUCCUGCAGAAGGGCAACAUUACUGUCCUGAGCAAGAAGUGCAUCAUGCAACCCUCAGAGCCUGACUAUUCAAAGUACAUUCUCAUAGGAUUCCUUUACGGCCUCACCCUGUUCAGUGUUUUGGCUGGCAGCUAUGUGAAGCGUCUUAGGAGCCUGGUGUGUGCCAGAUACCACCCCAGACGAGAGCGGGAGAGAGUUCGGCUCCUCCACGGUCGUAUCUUGAGUCAGCGCGUGUCCCUGUGUAAAGCUCUCCUGAGCUCUGUGGCCCGGAGCAAGGCAGACGGGGCCGGGGCCGGUCUCCUGCACACGCUCAUGCUACGGGUUCCUGGAGGAUCCUUCCUGGCUGAGCUCCUGGGUGUGUCGUCUGUCUCCUGCAUGGCAUGUGGCAGGGGAGGGGAGGGCCGGGAUGACUCCCACAUGGUCACCUGUUCCACUCCACAGUGUAAAGGUUUGUACUGUCGGCAGUGUUUCCGGAGCAUGAACAACAUCUGUGCAGUGUGCAUGGGGCCUCUGACCUUCCAGGAAGACUGUGAAGAGGAGCUGGAUUCCAGUGACGAUGAGCACGUGAGCCUGUGGACCGCCGCCCUGGCCUCGCCCCACAUCACCGAGCGGCGUGCGCGCAAGCUGAUGAAGAGGACCAUCUCCAUGGAGAUACGCCGCCGGUCGUGGGCGGAGAUGCCGAGACUGUCCCCAGUCCCUGGGGGGAGCAGGGUGCUGUACCAGAGGACGGGCAGCGCCGUGACACCAGGACACGAGGGGGACAGUGACGGCAGCGGUCACGUCAGUCCAUUCAGCGAACCGGACGUCAGUGAGCCCGACAUGAGUUACCAGGAUCGCUCUGACUCAGAAGACUCUGACCCCAGGCACUAUGACCCCAGACGCAAAUACGUCCACAACUCGAAUCCAGCCACUUUCUCAGACAUCUAUUUCACUGGAGGAGUCAGUCGUCAGGCUUCAGAAAGUGACUCUUCAGACAGUGACACUUUGUUUCAGUCCCUCUCUUCGGAUGCCAGCAACCACUCCAGAGAGGAACCACUACAGACGGUCACAGUCCACAGUCUGACCAUGACCGCAACCGUGCCCUGUGUCAGGAAUACCACCAGAGCGACGGCCCCAGCCGGUCCUACUCCAACAGUUGAUCCAGACCAUUAAUUCUAUCCAGUGAAAGACAAAAAGGGUUACAGGACCUCUAAACUGGAGUGGUAGCAUUCUGCUACACUGCAAUAGUGGAGUAUGAACCUUCAGCAGGGGGCCUGUCAAACCCACAGCUGAUGACAGUUCUGAAGAUCAAUGGCUUCACUAUCUACAGAGCUGGUAAGCUUUUGUCUCAUGGUUGAUGGAGUUUUUGGCAGAAGACUUUGGAAAACUUUUCCAGAAGCAAAUAUAUAUACAAAUUCAACCUGCGUAGGAUGACAAUCCCAUCCCUGCACACACACGAAAAAGAGCAUUGGUAUGUAAAACUGCGAAAAGUA